UGGGGAAUUUUGGACAAUGGGCGCAAGCCUGAUCCAGCAAUGCCGCGUGCAGGAUGAAGGCCUUCGGGUUGUAAACUGCUUUUGUACGGAACGAAACGGCUCUGUCUAAUACAUGGGGCUAAUGACGGUACCGUAAGAAUAAGCACCGGCUAACUACGUGCCAGCAGCCGCGGUAAUACGUAGGGUGCAAGCGUUAAUCGGAAUUACUGGGCGUAAAGCGUGCGCAGGCGGUUUAGUAAGACAGGCGUGAAAUCCCCGGGCUCAACCUGGGAACUGCGCUUGUGACUGCUAAGCUAGAGUACGGCAGAGGGGGAUGGAAUUCCGCGUGUAGCAGUGAAAUGCGUAGAUAUGCGGAGGAACACCGAUGGCGAAGGCAAUCCCCUGGGCCUGCACUGACGCUCAUGCACGAAAGCGUGGGGAGCAAACA
rnacentral:rRNA from 1 species